GAUGAACGCUGGCGGCGUGCCUAAUACAUGCAAGUCGAGCGAACAGACGAGGAGCUUGCUCCUCUGACGUUAGCGGCGGACGGGUGAGUAACACGUGGAUAACCUACCUAUAAGACUGGGAUAACUUCGGGAAACCGGAGCUAAUACCGGAUAAUAUAUUGAACCGCAUGGUUCAAUAGUGAAAGACGGUUUUGCUGUCACUUAUAGAUGGAUCCGCGCCGCAUUAGCUAGUUGGUAAGGUAACGGCUUACCAAGGCAACGAUGCGUAGCCGACCUGAGAGGGUGAUCGGCCACACUGGUACUGAGACACGGUCCAGACUCCUACGGGAGGCAGCAGUAGGGAAUCUUACGCAAUGGGCGAAAGCCUGACGGAGCAACGCCGCGUGAGCGAUGAAGGUCUUCGGAUCGUAAAACUCUGUUAUUAGGGAAGAACAAAUGUGUAAGUAACUAUGCACGUCUUGACGGUACCUAAUCAGAAAGCCACGGCUAACUACGUG
rnacentral:rRNA from 1 species